CAUUGUGAAAGAUGGUCAUUAAGUUUUAAAAUAUGUUUCAUUGAGGUAGAUAUCUCCUCGGUCUUCCAUAUAUCCCAAGGGUUUCAAGGGCCUCGGAUUUUCUUCAAUCAGUCACUCAAUUUCUGUUGUCUCAAUGUGAGAUUUUGAAUAAUUGUAGUUUUUAUUGUUAGCUUUCCAACAAGAUAAGAAUUGCUUGAUUUGGAGUAAGAAGGAAUUUUUGGUGAAUUUUUGAGUUUGAGGGAAUUGACUGCCUUUGUAGUUUGAAUCAAUCGAGUUUGGAAAGGCAUUUCUAAGUGCCUGGUGAUUGGAUUUAUUUAAAAUUUUGGGAACAUCAAGAUUUAUAAGCUAAUCUCUGAAAGGCACCAGUUUUGGUUAAUUUUAAGACAAUCUGAAUUUUUAGUGAAUUUCUAAGUGAAGAGGGUUAGUCACCGCUGCAGUUUGGAUCACUCAACUUCAAAGGAGGAAUUCUCACGAUUGGAUCGUUAGAUUGCAACGAAGAUUGUUGGAUCAAAAGCGUCUUCAAGUCAGCCUUGCAACAAGCUAAGAAUCAUUCAAAUUGAAUCCGAUUACAAAUUUUGGCAAAUUUUGGAGUAGAGGGAGGCCGCUGCCUUCAAUCCUUAGGUGUUGUCAAGGUACCUUCGCUUUCACCUCUCUCACUUUAUUUUUACUAUCAUCUUCAUAGUGAAUUGUAAGCUCCACAUUUCAUUUUUUGGCUAAUAAUUUUUAAUUUUAAAUUUUAACCUUUAAUAUUCUCACUUUAACUUUUAACUUUAACUUUUAAAUUAAACUUUUAAUUUUAACUUUUCACUUAACCUUUAAUCUUAACUUUCAACUUAAUUUUUUUACUUAAUCUUUUAAUUUUAACUUUAACUUAACCUUUUAAUUUUAGCUUUUAACUUAACCUUUUAAUCUUAAUUUUUAAUUUUAACUUUUUUUUUAACUUAACUUUUAACUUAACUUUUAAUUCAAACUUAAGUUUUAUUCUUAUGGUCAAUUAAUAGUAAUAAUUUAGUUAAUUAUUUUUAUUGUGUUUACAUAGUAAAUUUCAUUUAACAUGUUAAUUUAAUAUUGAUAACCAUUGCUUGAAAGGCCUAAACUAAUUAAAUUUUUAAUAUAAAGAUUUAAAUUAAUCUAACAAUUACACAAUUGGGAGCUCUCCAAUUCCACCUCUUGGACUUGUUGUGUGGCAUAGGUUUCAUCAAGUGGUGAAAUUUGGCCUCACAAUAUUAAUCCUUUGGUUUUUUGUGAAUUAUAUCCUUGGCAUAAAUUCAAGUUUAAGCAAUUUUAUUGAGUAUGGCGAGGGCAUUGAUUGUAAGCAAUGUAGUAAUUUGAUGACACCUCAAGAAAUAGAGUUUAUUGAUAUUAAAUUCACAAAGUAUGGAACAUGUCCUUUGUUACUUUAUAAUAAAGCUUGCAAAUUAAAUUGUUAUUAUUGCUACCAAAGAUUGUAGGUGUUACUUUAUUUUGUAUUAUCUAUAUAUAUAUAUAUAUAUAUUUAUAGACAUAUUAUUAAGAUAAGGUUGAAUUAAUGGCCAAUAAGAUCUUUUAGCUUACACCAAGUAUGCAAUGCUUAUUAGUCUUGUAGUAAUCUAGACAUAAUUAGUAGUGAAUUAUAAAUAUUAGUGGUGAUUAGAGAUAUAAAUAGAGGUAUAAAUUAUCUUUAAGUCAUUAGAUAACUAUAUAUAUCAAAAUAAUAUUUUUUAUAGUGUAGUUUGAGAUUCAAUAUUAUUAAUUUUUAUGACCAAAUUACUUAAAAAGUGACUUUGUUCAAAACUUUGAGUUAGUAGAAGAUAUCAACAAUAUUGUUUUAGCAUGUUUCAACAUUAGAUACCACUAUAAAGAUUUGAUUACAGAAUGUAGGGAUAUUUCAUAAGAUCAAGAAGAAUCCUUAUAAUAUGAUGAAAGAUUGAUUUUUGGAAU
rnacentral:lncRNA from 1 species